UGUUUCCUACUUGGACCUCUCCUGGUACAAAAAUACACAAUCUUGAUGUCAAAAUCUCAAAUAAUUUAGUUUUUUUUGUGUGUGAAAAGAUUGGAAAAUAUUUGAUCGUGUACUUACUUGUUCUGUAUGGGGCUAUAGCGACUCCUCGGGAUUUUCCGUAAGCUAUCUCCUUCACCUCCAAGAGACUUCUGCUUCAUCUCUUUGCUUAUUUGCAAAUCUCUCAAAUCUCUAUGUCCCUCUAUGUGAAA